CCUACGGGAGGCAGCAGUAAGGAAUAUUGGACAAUGGUCGCAAGACUGAUCCAGCCAUGCCGCGUGAAGGAUGACGGCCCUAUGGGUUGUAAACUUCUUUUGUAUGGGAAAAAACCUCUCUACGUGUAGAGAGCUGAUUGUACCAUAAGAAUAAGGAUCGGCUAACUCCGUGCCAGCAGCCGCGGUAAUACGGAGGAUCCAAGCGUUAUCCGGAUUCAUUGGGUUUAAAGGGUGCGUAGGCGGAAUGAUAAGUCAGUGGUGAAAGCCUGCAGCUUAACUGCAGAACUGCCAUUGAUACUGUCAAUCUUGAGUACAUUUGAUGUGGGCGGAAUGUGUCAUGUAGCGGUGAAAUGCUUAGAUAUGACACAGAACACCGAUUGCGAAGGCAGCUCACAAAACUGUAACUGACGCUGAGGCACGAAAGCGUGGGUAUCAAACAGGAUUAGAUACCCUGGUAGUCCACGCUGUAAACUAUGAUUACUCGAUGUUUGCGAUACACUGUAAGCGUCUAAGCGAAAGCGAUAAGUAAUCCACCUGGGGAGUACGCUCGCAGAGUGAAACUUCAAAUUGAAUUGAGG
rnacentral:rRNA from 1 species